GGUAUCUAGAACUGUUUGAUGGUAUUUCUGACUUUUCAAGCUGUAUCACGUUUGUGUAAUAACUAAUUUCCACUUAAGAAACCUAAGUGAAACUUUUGCAAAGAUUUUUUAAAGGACAUAAUUUGUACUGAAAUUUGUGCUGAAAAAAAAACGGGACAUCAGCUAGAACAUUAGGACCUUCAACAAUUACAAACGCAGAAUAAAUAUAGACUGUAAGACAUGUGUCUGAUCGGUAAAAUCCUGUUUUUUUUAUAUUUAUGUUAGUCCUUGUCAAACAAACUGUUCAAAUUUGAGCAGUUUGUUUGACAACGGCUUACAUGAAUAUUCAAUAUAUUUACAUGUAUACAGUGUAUUAGGUUGUGCUACUGUAUAAGUAUUACUACAACACAUCAACAGGCUCAUUGCUUUCAUUUUAAUCAUGUCGAACACCGCUGGAUGUUUAACAUUUUUCGUCAAUGGCAAAAAGAUUGCUGAACACAAUCCAGAUCCAAGAGGAACACUGUUGCAGUAUCUACGCAGACAACUAAUUUUACCAGGAACGAAAGAAGGAUGUGGACAUGGGGGCUGUGGCUCGUGUACCGUUAUGGUCUCAAAAUACGACUUCAGUAACGAGCGUAUUCAGUAU